CGGCGCACGGGUGAGUAACACGUAUCCAACCUGCCGUCUACUCUUGGACAGCCUUCUGAAAGGAAGAUUAAUACAAGAUGGCAUCAUGAGUCCACAUGUUCACAUGAUUAAAGGUAUUCCGGUAGACGAUGGGGAUGCGUUCCAUUAGAUAGUAGGCGGGGUAACGGCCCACCUAGUCUUCGAUGGAUAGGGGUUCUGAGAGGAAGGUCCCCCACAUUGGAACUGAGACACGGUCCAAACUCCUACGGGAGGCAGCAGUGAGGAAUAUUGGUCAAUGGACGAGAGUCUGAACCAGCCAAGUAGCGUGAAGGAUGACUGCCCUAUGGGUUGUAAACUUCUUUUAUAUGGGAAUAAAGUGAGCCACGUGUGGCUUUUUGUAUGUACCAUACGAAUAAGGAUCGGCUAACUCCGUGCCAGCAGCCGCGGUAAUACGGAGGAUCCGAGCGUUAUCCGGAUUUAUUGGGUUUAAAGGGAGCGUAGGCGGACUAUUAAGUCAGCUGUGAAAGUUUGCGGCUCAACCGUAAAAUUGCAGUUGAUACUGGUCGUCUUGAGUGCAGUAGAGGUAGGCGGAAUUCGUGGUGUAGCGGUGAAAUGCUUAGAUAUCACGAAGAACUCCGAUUGCGAAGGCAGCUUACU
rnacentral:rRNA from 1 species